UCCAGACUCCUACGGGAGGCAGCAGUGGGGAAUAUUGCACAAUGGGGGAAACCCUGAUGCAGCGACGCCGCGUGAGUGAAGAAGUAUUUCGGUAUGUAAAGCUCUAUCAGCAGGGAAGAAAUAGCGACCUUUGGGUCGCCAGACGGUACCUGACUAAGAAGCCCCGGCUAACUACGUGCCAGCAGCCGCGGUAAUACGUAGGGGGCAGGCGUUAUCCGGAUUUACUGGGUGUAAAGGGAGCGUAGACGGCAGUACAAGUCUGAAGUGAAAUGCCGGGGCUUAACCCCGGAACUGCUUUGGAAACUGUGCAGCUAGGGUGCAGGAGAGGUAAGUGGAAUUCCUAGUGUAGCGGUGAAAUGCGUAGAUAUUAGGAGGAACACCAGUGGCGAAGGCGGCUUACUGGACUGUAACUGACGUUGAGGCUCGAAAGCGUGGGGAGCAAACAGGAUUAGAUACCCUGGUACG
rnacentral:rRNA from 1 species